UCCAUUUCCAUUAAAGAAACGCAUGAGUUCUUACAAAAAAAGGAGUCUUGGAAAACCAGAGGGGAAGAACCCCCAGGUGCUCACAAAAGAAACAAAAACAAAACGAAAGCCAGCUAGCACAGGCCUUAGAGUUUAAGCUAUCUCUCCACAACUCAUCUCAUUUCUCUCCAAUUCACCAUUGUGUCCUCAACUACCAGCUAAUCUUCUUUGCCUGAUGCGCCAUCCGAACUGCGAGUUGAAGACCUCAUUUGCCACUUGUUUUAGCAGUUGUGCUCCCCAUUGCAACCUUCCUUGUCUUUCCCCCGAAUUCUGCAAAACAGCCCAAUCCGACAAAAAGGAACAAGCAUUGUAUAUAAUGUCAGUUGGGUUAUUUGGUAAGAUUUGAUCAAAACAAGCCUUAUUUCUUGCUUUCCAAAUGCCCAAAUUAUAGCAGCCACACCAACUAGCAUUAGUUGUUUUGUAAUUUGUCACAAGGUUGAAUCCAGGAACUUAAAGCAUGUCUCAAGUCUUUAAUCUGAUUCAUACCAAAAGCACAAAUCACAACAUUCCAAGUGAAUCUAACUAAGGGACGGUCAAAAAAUAAAUGUUGAAUUGUUUCUUCUGACGAGCAUAUUACUGUUGAUUUAUUGCCUAGAUGCAUAGAUUAGUGAAUUUGCCCACAUCUGGCUUCACAUCUCUUAACAAUCAGUUCGAACAUCUGCAGGAGGUGGAAGAUAAUGUGUUCCAUUGUUUUGAGCAGGGCAGUAACAUCGUUUGAAUUUUUUUUUAUUUUCUCUUUCCUCUGCAAUUUGCUAACUACAAUUUACCAUGAAAAAGAUCCAGUUCACCAGCAUGAACAAGGAAAAUCCGGAAAUUCCAACAACAUUCAACCCUGACCCACGAAGAAGGGUGCACUGGCGAAACAUGAGAUGCGCAAAUAGCGUGGCGUACCUCAGCCUUUCGGCGUUCGUCAUGUCAGGGAGAGCCGUGGCCUCAGCCGCCG
rnacentral:lncRNA from 1 species